GCCAGACUCCUACGGGAGGCAGCAGUGGGGGAUAUUGCACAAUGGGGGAAACCCUGAUGCAGCGACGCCGCGUGGGUGAAGAAGUAUUUCGGUAUGUAAAGCCCUAUCAGCAGGGAAGAAAGAAGACGGUACCUGACUAAGAAGCCCCGGCUAACUACGUGCCAGCAGCCGCGGUAAUACGUAGGGGGCGAGCGUUAUCCGGAUUCACUGGGUGUAAAGGGAGCGUAGACGGCCGUGCAAGCCAGGAGUGAAAGCCCGGGGCCCAACCCCGGGACUGCUCUUGGAACUGUGCGGCUGGAGUGCGGGAGGGGCAGGCGGAAUUCCUGGUGUAGCGGUGAAAUGCGUAGAUAUCAGGAGGAACACCGGUGGCGAAGGCGGCCUGCUGGACUGCGACUGACGUUGAGGCCCGAAAGCGUGGGGAGCAAACAGGAUUAGAUACCCUCGUAU
rnacentral:rRNA from 1 species